rnacentral:lncRNA from 1 species
ACCAGAGCUUUCACUUCAGGAUCCACAGGCAGCUCAAGAAUGUCAUGGAACUGAAAGUCUUUGACCAGGACCUGGUGACCGGAGAUGACCCUGUGUUGUCAGUACUGUUUGAUGUGGGGACUCUGCGGGCUGGGGAGUUCCGGCGUGAGAGCUUCUCACUGAGCCCUCAGGGUGAGGGGCGCCUGGAAGUUGAAUUUCGCCUGCAGAGUCUGGCUGACCGUGGCGAGUGGCUCGUCAGCAAUGGCGUUCUGGUGGUGAGUGUGCCAGUGCUCUGGGAGGCGGUCUGGGGUCCCCGGGACUCCCUCAUGCCAGCGACUUGAGGUACAGGCCCACCGCUGCCUCAGCCUGGGGACCCUGGGAUUUCAGUUUGUUAAGGGAAUACAAUCUCAAGGGCCCAGGUAAUGAAGUGCAGACCAGCAGCAGCCAGGGUGCUGCGAGGGUGGGGUCCCUGAAUGGGGGGGGUGGGGUUAGUGUCUGAGGGGCUGUCUUCAUGACUCAGGCCUGGGAGCUCUCCUGCUUGCACGUUCAACUGGAGGAGACAGGAGACCAGAAGUGUGAGUCCCCAACCCACUGGGACAGCCCCUGGCUCUCAGCUCUUGUCUUCCCCCUUUAAGCAUUGGACAAUUCUCCCUGGGGCCUGAGCUUUCCCCUUAGGCCUUCUCGGGGGACCGUGGUGGGGGAUCCAUCUCCACCAGACCAUUUCAGCGGGGAGAGGGAGGUGCCCUCCAGGCCACGCAGCAAGAUGGGUUCUGUGGGCAGAGAUACCAUCCCCAGCCUCUCUGCUCUGGUUCCUGUUUCCAGCCUCAGAGCACAGAGUUCAGCUUGUGGUUCCUGGGUCCUGUGAGGGUCCGCAGGAGGCCUCUGUGGGCACUGGCACCUUCCGCUUCCACUGCCCAGCCUGCUGGGAGCAGGAGCUGAGUAUUCACCUACAGGAUGCCCCUGAGGAGCAACUAAAGGUGCCACUGAGUGCCCUGCCCUCUGGUCAAGUGGUGAGUCUUGUCUUCCCCACGUCCCAGGUACUGGCCUCCCAGGGAAG